rnacentral:rRNA from 1 species
UACAGAGGGUGCAAGCGUUGUUCGGAAUUAUUGGGCGUAAAGGGUGCGUAGGCGGUUUUGUAAGUCAGUGGUGAAAUACUCCAGCUUAACUGGAGGGGUGCCAAUGAUACUGCAGAACUUGAGUACAGAUGAGGUAGGCGGAAUUGACGGUGUAGCGGUGAAAUGCAUAGAUAUCGUCAAGAACACCGAUAGCGAAGGCAGCUUACUGGGCUGUAACUGACGCUGAGGCACGAAAGUGUGGGGAUCAAACAGG